rnacentral:sRNA from 1 species
GUCCGGCGAAGAACACAAGAAAAAAUGUUGCUGGAAGAGCUGAAAGACUCGGCAGCAAACAAUGACGAGAAUCAGCAUAAUCUUCCAAAUGGACAUGCUCGUGGAGCUGGUCUUCAGAAUAUUGAUCCAUUGGCUGAAUUCCGAAGAGAAGAGGAGAGACUAAGGAAUACACGAAGUCCAUAUGGAGAGGAGAGAUGGUAUGAUGUUUUGAUAAAUAUUCAUUAAUUCAGUGAAAACUAUGGAAAAAGUGUCGAAUUAUUCUCAUUGAUUAUUUUUAGGCGAGGAAGAAUGCGUGGAAAGCCACCAACUCCCCCACCACGUGAAUCAAGUGCUUCUCCAGUUAACUCAUUGCCACGUGGCACUCCAGCUCAUCAUAUGGAUAGACAACGUCACAAUCAAUCAGUUCCACUUCCAAUGCAUCAUAGACAAUUUGAUGAGGACUUUGAUGUCAAUUCCUUAUUUAAUUUUUCGGUUCGUUUUUUCUUAAUUUCAAACCUUUUUGAAUGUGGUGAAAGGGCAUUUUCAAUUGCUCGCGCAAUUGAAUCCAAGAAGCUCAUAAUAGUUCCAAAAAACCGAAUUUCGCAACCUAUCGAAAUUGACUAUUAAAAUGUAAAUGUCGGUUCAUAAUUUCAAAAAAAAGACCUAAAAGCGUCUACGAAAAUUGUUUCAGCAUGACCCACGACAACAAUCAACAACACUUGAACGUGGAGGAAGAAGUCUUUCAAGAGGAGCACGUAUUCAGGAUGCAUACUAUGCAUCACAACAAGAUCUAUCAGCAAAUAAUCGAUUCAAUUCUGGACAGGAACGAGUUGCAGCUGCAAUUUAUAGAGCAGAGACUGCACAUCGAGAUAUGUAUGCAAGUGGAACAAUUAACAGGGCAGAGACACCAGGAAGAUAUUUCCCAGAAAAUGUACGCUUUUUCUUUGAAACUUAUAAAUAAUACGGAAUUCUCAGCUUUUUGGGGAUUUUUUCAAGAAAAUGCUGUACAAAAUAUUGAAAGUCAUCAGGUUCCGCAAUACCAAUUUUUGAUAUUUUUUUAAUUUUACAAUUCUCGAGCUAUCUUUAAAACAUUUAGUGUGAUCAGAAUCUCUAGAUUUUAAUAAGUUGAAGGAUAAAUGAAACUACAAUGAAAAUUAAAUAUUUUUACAAACCAAUACUCAUUAUAGUAGAAAUUAGUUUCAUUCACUGUUUGAGUUUCUUCAAAUUUUUUGAACUACAUAUAUAUAGGAAUAUCUAUAGAUAAUUGCAAACAUUUUGAAUUUCCAAAUUGCCAAACCGCCAAAAAGGUGGUUUCAUUAACAAUAUCAACAAUAUCAACAACAUUAACAAUAAGUAUAAAAAUUGUUAUCUAGAUUUCCAUUAGAGUUUUUGUAGGCCUAUCAAAAUGAAUUUUGUAAUGUUUAUGAUAUCAUAACAGACAUCUAGUGAAUUGAAGAGAAAAAAGAGAAAGAGAAGAAAAAGAUGAAACAAUAACAUUAUCAUAGAUUCUAUUCUCUUUCUUCAAUCCAUCCUUUUUCCUGUCUUCCUACUUUUUUCUCUUUUUCUUUGUUCUUUUUGCCCUCUUUAGUCACUAAAUCCUUGAUAGUCAGUUUUCAGUCUAGAGAAGUUUAUCUGAAACAUUGUUUUUUACUUUUACUUCUGAAAUGAACCCAUAUCUUUUUGCGAAGUUUUGAAACUUUUCAAUUCUUUCAGUAUUCCAUAACUUAAAAAAUGGAGUUGUACUAGUCGGAAUAAAGUUUGAAAUUACUCAAAUAAUAAAAAAAAAAGAUCACUUAGCUAAACUAUUCAAAAAUUAAAAAUAUUAAAUGAAAAGCAUUUUGAUUUCAUAGGGAAAUUUGCCUAAACUGACCUAAACUGAACUGGCAUAUAUCUUUUUUUUUUGAAAAACUUUAACUUUCAUUUUACAAGUUUUAUGUCAAACUCCAAUUUCUAAAUUGCAGAGUGCUGUUCUCGAACGUUCAUCAACCCCAUCAUUCCCAGUAUCUCGUGCCACACCUCUUCCGUUCCAUCCAUUGUUGUAUAAUAACGGGGAACGAGGAGGAAGUGGACACGCUGCAGGUGGUGGAGGAGGAGGACAUAACGGUUAUAGUACUAUGAAUAAUAGGUGAGAAACAUUUCCCAGGAAAAUAUUUUGAGCAGUAUUGAAAUUUGUAAAUUCUCAGAUCAGCUUCACCUCGGCUCUUUGGUGGAUCAUCGACGUUGAGCAGAAGAUCUUCCGUUAAUUCUGUUGG